UACGUAGGGGCCAAGCGUUGUCCGGAUUUAUUGGGCGUAAAGAGCUCGUAGGCGGUCUGUUGCGUCUGCCGUGAAAACCCGAGGCUUAACCUCGGGCCUGCGGUGGAUACGGGCAGACUAGAGGUAGGUAGGGGAGAAUGGAAUUCCCGGUGUAGCGGUGAAAUGCGCAGAUAUCGGGAGGAACACCGGUGGCGAAGGCGGUUCUCUGGGCCUUACCUGACGCUGAGGAGCGAAAGCGUGGGGAGCGAACAGG
rnacentral:rRNA from 1 species